rnacentral:rRNA from 1 species
AUAGGUUAAUUAAGAGCGUAUGGGGAAUGCCUAGGCUCUCAGAGGCGAUGAAGGACGUGAUAAGCUGCGAAAAGUUACGGGGAGUGGCACAUACAUUUUGAUCCGUAAAUAUCCGAAUGGGGCAACCCAGCAUGUUGAAGACAUGUUAUCCGAAAGGAGGCAAACCCGGGGAACUGAAACAUCUAAGUACCCGGAGGAAUAGAAAACAAUAGUGAUUCCGUUAGUAGUGGCGAGCGAACGCGGAAAAGCCCAAACCAGUCUUGUUACGGCAAGGCUGGGGUUGUAGGACCACGAUAUUCAAUGCUUUAUGAACUGGAAGCUGCUGGAAAGUAGUACCAUAGAGGGUGAUAGUCCCGUACAGGUAAAGAUAGUUAUUGAUAGUGGUAUCCUGAGUAGCACGGGGCACGGGAAACCUUGUGUGAAUCUGCCAGGACCAUCUGGUAAGGCUAAAUACUUCUGAGAGACCGAUAGUGAACUAGUACCGUGAGGGAAAGGUGAAAAGUACCGUGAAUAACGGAGUGAAAUAGAUCCUGAAACCAUACGCUUACAAGCGGUCGGAGCCUUCGGGUGACGGCGUGCCUUUUGCAUAAUGAGCCUACGAGUUACCGUUGCUGGCAAGGUUAAACACUUCAGGUGUGGAUCCGUAGCGAAAGCGAGUCUGAAUAGGGCGUAUAGUCAGUAGUGGUAGACGCGAAACCGUGUGAUCUAUCCAUGGGCAGGUUGAAGCUCAGGUAACACUGCGUGGAGGACCGAACCCGUUGACGUUGAAAAGUCUUGGGAUGACCUGUGGAUAGGGGUGAAAGGCCAAUCAAACUCGGAAAUAGCUCGUACUCCCCGAAAUGCAUUUAGGUGCAGCGUUGUAUUAGUUUCCAAGAGGUAGAGCUACUGAUUGGAUGCGGGGGCUUCACCGCCUACCAAUUCCUGACAAACUCCGAAUGCUUGGAAAUGAUGUGCAGCAGUGAGGGCAUGGGUGCUAAGGUCCAUGUCCGAGAGGGAAAGAACCCGGACCACCAGCUAAGGUCCCCAAGUGUAUGCUAAGUUGAUUAAACGAGGUUUGACUGCCCAGACAGCUAGGAUGUUGGCUUGGAAGCAGCCAUUCAUUUAAAGAGUGCGUAACAGCUCACUAGUCGAGCGGUCGAGCAUGGAUAAUAAUCGGGCAUAAGCAUACCACCGAAGCUGUGGCAACGAAAGUUGGGUAGGGGAGCAUUGUAGCGGCGUUGAAGGUGAACUGUGAGGUUUGCUGGAGCUUCUACAAAAGAAAAUGUAGGCAUAAGUAACGAUAAUGCGGGCGAGAAACCCGCACGCCGAAAGACUAAGGUUUCCUCAGCUAUGCUAAUCAGCUGAGGGUUAGUCGGGACCUAACGCGAACCCGAAAGGGGUAGUGGAUGGACAACAGGUUAAUAUUCCUGUACCUGCUCUCAUUAAAAGUGACGGAUCCCCCAGAUGUUUACGUGGUGACGGAAAUCCACGUUGAGCCUAUCUGCUUGCAGAGAAGCGAAAACAAGUAAGGGGUCCCUAGAAAAGCGAGAGAAGCAGCCCGUACCCUAAACCGACACAGGUAGUUGGGAUGAGUAUUCUAAGGCGCUCGAGUGAUUCAUGGCUAAGGAACUAGGCAAAAUUGACCCGUAACUUCGGGAGAAGGGUCGCCCCCGCCUUUGGCGGGGGCCGCAGUGAAUAGAUCCAGGCGACUGUUUAUCAAAAACACAGGACUCUGCUAAGACGAAAGUCGAUGUAUAGGGUCUGACACCUGCCCGGUGCCGGAAGGUUAAGUGGAGCUGUUAUCUUCGGAGAAGCAGUCAAAUGAAGCCCCGGUAAACGGCGGCCGUAACUAUAACGGUCCUAAGGUAGCGAAAUUCCUUGUCGGGUAAGUUCCGACC